GUGAGUCAUCGAAUCUUUGAACGCACCUUGCGCUCCUUGGCAUUCCGAGGAGCAUGCCUGUUUGAGUGUCAUUGAAUCUCUCUCAGAACCCCUCCCUGGGUUUGGAUUUGUGGAGGAUGCAUUGCUACCCAAAAAUGCUGGGUUGCGCUUGCUUCUCUGAAAUGGAUUGGCGUUACGGCGGCAAUUCACGUCGGUAUGAUACAAUCAAUUCAAUGGUCUUACCUGCUUGUGGCCCAUGCCUGCCCAGCCAGAAAUGACGACAGUCAGCCUCGCACAAUUUGACCUCAAAUCAGGCAGGAC
rnacentral:misc_RNA from 1 species